rnacentral:rRNA from 1 species
AUUGAACGCUGGCGGCAUGCCUUACACAUGCAAGUCGAACGGCAGCACGGGAGCAAUCCUGGUGGCGAGUGGCGAACGGGUGAGUAAUAUAUCGGAACGUGCCCAGUCGUGGGGGAUAACGUAGCGAAAGCUACGCUAAUACCGCAUACGAUCUAUGGAUGAAAGCGGGGGAUCGCAAGACCUCGCGCGAUUGGAGCGGCCGAUAUCAGAUUAGGUAGUUGGUGAGGUAAAGGCUCACCAAGCCGACGAUCUGUAGCUGGUCUGAGAGGACGACCAGCCACACUGGGACUGAGACACGGCCCAGACUCCUACGGGAGGCAGCAGUGGGGAAUUUUGGACAAUGGGCGCAAGCCUGAUCCAGCAAUGCCGCGUGCAGGAUGAA